UAGGCCCUAGGAAAGAACUUACUACUAUACUGCUGAGUGCACAUAAUACUAAACUGCACCUGAAUACUUGUCAUUAUAUUCAUAGAUUAGUGAUGCUUUCAACAAAGGUUCUGCUCCACGCCAUUGAAAGAAGAUCUUCACCCAAGACUCUUGAGAAAGAGAUUUAUUUGGAAAGGAGAAGUCCAGGAGAGUGGCUGCCUCUGCCAGGGUGAGAAAGGACAGCCAGCAACUGAACAGGCCCACUGUACAAGUGAGAACCUAAACCUGACAAUGUCAGUGAGGCCAAAAACCUGAAGCUAUAUGAAAAACCUAUUACUAUUAGUCUGCAAUCAAACCGCUCCCAAUGGCCAAUUCCUAUAUAGAGAGCAGUGCAUCACUCUACCUUCAUCAGGGAAGUUUCUUCUUGCAACAGAAAGCCAUUAAAACAGAAAUUCUGGAAUGGCCAGCCCUAAAUGGAUUUUCUGAGCUCUGAGGGAGAAAUCUGAUGGAGACCUCCAGUUUAGACUCUCUCCACAUGAUAUCUGGCUGUGGGUCUCUGCAUCUGUUCCCGUCGGCUGCUGGAGGAAACCUCUCUGAUGAUGAGCAUAGCAGAGUAUCAUUAGGAAUCAUUUUAUUGCUCUUCUGUUGUUUGUUUGCUUGCUUUUACUGGUAGUAUUUGAUUUUUACCCUAGGUCUCUUGGCUAUCUAGUCCUCAGACAAUGAGCUAAAUCUAUACAUUCCUGCCCUCCAAGGAGAAACUAUGUGACGAUGCCCCUACAAGCUUCACAGCAGGUAAGGAAAACCGACCAGAGUGAGGUAAGAAUGAAAUUCAGCUCAGCCCGAUUUUACUGUAACCAGCACUGGAACAGGACUUCUAAAGUCUGACCCAGACCAUUUUACUUUAACCAUAUUUUAGCACUUCACAAUUUUGAAAAAAAAAUAAGUUUUCUGAUAACAAUUAAAUGAGUCCCAAGUGCACAAGAAUUUAAGACAUGUUUACUUUGAGAUUCCUUACAAGGUACAUCUGGUUUCUUUUAUAACAAUGGGUACUGUUGACUCAGAGACAAUGCCCAAGAUUUAGGAGAUAUAUGGGAGAUAUAGGGAGCUUAUCCAAGGUAAACAUAAUGCUUAUGGGUGCCAAGACUGUCCUGGCCCUAAGAUAAUGUAGAAAAGUCACUUUAGCUUUGUAAAGGGCAAUUGACAUCACUCAUGAGAGUGUUUUAUGGUCUAAAAGCAAUGCUCAAGAUUUAGGGGGAAAGGCCUUAGAUAAGUAAAAAUAUAAAUUAUGGGAGCUAUGGGAAAAACUUGUGUCAUCAGAUAGCUAAGGAUCACCAGGUUGUACAAGGACAUCAUUCCUAGUGUCCCAGGAAGAACAGCUUUGCACUUCAUUCCAUGGAAGAUGUGAGCUGUGUGUUUAACUUUCCUAGCAUUCUCCAGUGCUCAUCUGUGUGCACAAGGCACUCUGCCCUUUACAUAGAGGCAACAGUCUCUGAUUGUUCUGCCCUGUUUUGUCUUCUUGGUUUUGAGAUAGGGUCUUGUAUAACCCUGGCUGGUCUGGAACUCAUCAUGACACUCGAAUCACCGUGGACUCCUGAUCGUCCUGCCUGGACCUCUUAAGUGCUAGGAUUGCAGCAUGCCUGACAACAAUGCCAUUGAUACAUAGAAAAGAAACUUCCCUAUUUCUUAAGCCAAUGUCCUCCACAAGCAGUGCCACUGUAAGAAACAUUUAGAUAUUUGUCUUUAUGGUAAAACUUCUGUUUAUGACAAGGACAUCAAAUCUUUUUAUCUCUUCCACCUAGUAAAACUUUUAGCCAAAUGUUUUAACCACCCCCCAAACCUGGUAAAACUCCUUUUUCCAAAGGCUCCACUGUAGGAACCAGUGACAAGGGAAAAACACCCUGCCCAUACUCAACCCCCAAGCCUAAUACCAAAGUAAAGGAAAAUACCCUGCUCCUGGCUUAACCUGGAGUACCUGAGGCUUGGAAGUCCACACCCUGUGACUCAGCAAUAUCAGCUGAAGGAUGUACUUGCCAUGCUGUACUUUUCCACUGGCUCACUGCACAUGCUCCAAGAAUCCCGUAACAGCCCUCCCAUUCACCCAGCCCUCUGCUCUGUUUCUUCCUGUUCAGAGCCAGCUACGGUUCAGUUAUUCUCCCCAAUAAAUCUCUUGUGUGA